UUCUCCAUGGCAUGACAGCAUUGAAGAUGGUCAAACAUGGAAACUAAAAUGUUUCUCUCUUUUUAAUCAUUGAGCAGAUCGUGUCAUCAAUAGCAGCAGUGCUGCUCAUACCAGAAAGUUUCGUGAUCGUUCAGGAGGCCUCACUUAUGGCGUGGACCUUCAAUUCUUUUUUUAAAUUAAUAGAAUCAGUGCUUAUGUUUUACCAAAAAGGUAAGGAAGAAGUUUGGUCUUCAUCUCAGGGCGGCAAUGAAGAUUGUAAAGGGGAGACCAACAAUUGUGCUGAAGGGUCUUAAAACCGCUACUUAUUGCAUUCCAAGCAAAAUUCAUUUUCAAAUUGGGACUCACGUUCUAACAUCCAGCAUGAAAGACCAUUAGUGAUGCACCAGCCAAAUACUGGGAUCAAUCCUCACCAUUCAGUACCAGUUCAUGCUGGAAACUGACCGCCUUCAUAUAAGCGUUGUAUUUGAUAUUGUAGUAGUUUUUGUGGUCAUGAUUUUAAAAAAUUUAUUUUAUAAAAUUUAUUUUUAGUU